rnacentral:rRNA from 1 species
UACGUAGGCAGCAAGCGUUGUUCGGAGUUACUGGGCGUAAAGAGUGCGUAGGCGGUCCUAUAAGUUCCGUGUGAAAUCUCCCGGCUCAACUGGGAGGGUGCGCGGAAGACUGUAGGGCUUGAGUGUGGGAGAGGUAAGCGGAAUUCCUGGUGUAGCGGUGAAAUGCGUAGAUAUCGGGAGGAACACCAGUGGCGAAGGCGGCUACCUGGCACAUAACUGACGCUGAUACGCGAAAGCGUGGGGAGCGAACCGG